GUAAAGAGCUCGUACGUGGUUUGUCGCGUUGUUCGUGAAAUCUCACGGCUUAACUGUGAGCGUGCGGGCGAUACGGGCAGACUAGAGUACUGCAGGGGAGACUGGAAUUCCUGGUGUAGCGGUGGAAUGCGCAGAUAUCAGGAGGAACACCGGUGGCGAAGGCGGGUCUCUGGGCAGUAACUGACGCUGAGGAGCGAAAGCGUGGGGAGCGGACAGGAUUAGAUACCCUGGUAGUCCACGCCGUAAACGGUGGGUACUAGGUGUGGGUUUCCUUCCUUGGGAUCCGUGCCGUAGCUAACGCAUUAAGUACCCCGCCUGGGGAGUACGGCCGCAAGGCUAAAACUCAAAGGAAUUGACGGGGGCCCGCACAAGCGGCGGAGCAUGUGGAUUAAUUCGAUGCAACGCGAAGAACCUUACCUGGGUUUGACAUGCACAGGACGCGUCUAGAGAUAGGCGUUCCCUUGUGGCCUGUGUGCAGGUGGUGCAUGACUGUCGUCAGCUCGUGUCGUGAGAUGUUGGGUUAAGUCCCGCAACGAGCGCAACCCUUGUCUCAUGUUGCCAGCGGGUAAUGCCGGGGACUCGUGAGAGACUGCCGGGGUCAACUCGGAGGAAGGUGGGGAUGACGUCAAGUCAUCAUGCCCCUUAUGUCCAGGGCUUCACACAUGCUACAAUGGCCGGUACAAAGGGCUGCGAU
rnacentral:rRNA from 1 species